rnacentral:rRNA from 1 species
UCAGAUGAACGCUGGCGGCAGGCCUAACACAUGCAAGUCGAGCGGAUGAAGGGAGCUUGCUCCCGGAUUCAGCGGCGGACGGGUGAGUAAUGCCUAGGAAUCUGCCUGGUAGUGGGGGACAACGUUCCGAAAGGAGCGCUAAUACCGCAUACGUCCUACGGGAGAAAGUGGGGGAUCUUCGGACCUCACGCUAUCAGAUGAGCCUAGGUCGGAUUAGCUAGUAGGUGGGGUAAUGGCUCACCUAGGCGACGAUCCGUAACUGGUCUGAGAGGAUGAUCAGUCACACUGGAACUGAGACACGGUCCAGACUCCUACGGGAGGCAGCAGUGGGGAAUAUUGGACAAUGGGCGAAAGCCUGAUCCAGCCAUGCCGCGUGUGUGAAGAAGGUCUUCGGAUUGUAAAGCACUUUAAGUUGGGAGGAAGGGCAGUAAGUUAAUACCUUGCUGUUUUGACGUUACCAACAGAAUAAGCACCGGCUAACUUCGUGCCAGCAGCCGCGGUAAUACGAAGGGUGCAAGCGUUAAUCGGAAUUACUGGGCGUAAAGCGCGCGUAGGUGGUUUGGUAAGAUGGAUGUGAAAUCCCCGGGCUCAACCUGGGAACUGCAUCCAUAACUGCCUGACUAGAGUACGGUAGAGGGUGGUGGAAUUUCCUGUGUAGCGGUGAAAUGCGUAGAUAUAGGAAGGAACACCAGUGGCGAAGGCGACCACCUGGACUGAUACUGACACUGAGGUGCGAAAGCGUGGGGAGCAAACAGGAUUAGAUACCCUGGUAGUCCACGCCGUAAACGAUGUCGACUAGCCGUUGGGAUCCUUGAGAUCUUAGUGGCGCAGCUAACGCGAUAAGUCGACCG